CUAUUGGAAAGAAGGACAGAUAAUUAUUAUUAUGCAGAGGAUGUACCUAACAGGAAAACAAAAACAUUACUUUGACAGUUGUGGAGAAUCAAGAGAUUCAGUUUAAGUGAAUGAUUACAAUACUUAUAGAGAACAUAUAUGAAAUUUCAUAUAUAACAGCCAUAACAGCUUCUAUUGUGAAGGGAAAAAUAGUGCAUUCAAAAUAUAAUGGAAUAUACUCCAUUCACGAUAGUAAGAAAAAUGAAAAUGCCAUAAAUAAACCGUAACAAAUACUUUAGACAAAACUUGAGAAGAUACAAUAAUAGAAAUGACAUAAUGGGGAUAUGGUCUAUCGUCUUUCUGAAACAUGUAAAGUUUCUUGGUCAUCCCAUUCUGAUGCUGCAAGUGGUAAAAGAUUAUUUAACACAAUUUUAAAUCAUGGUUACUAACUUUUAGUCCAUGCCUUGAGCAGAGAAUUUUGGACUUCAAAGUUUGGAGUUUUAGACUGUGUACCACUAUCAAAAGCAAGCAGCUCACCUCAAAUCCCUUGAUGGUCUCAGACUUACAUCCUCUUCCAUUCACCAGCCACCCAGGCUUCCAAAUUUUCUGUUUAAUGGGCUCUUCAUUACAGGUGACCAUAGAGAGCCUAUGCAUGACAUCACUGCGAGCUGCCAGAGAGUUCAAGCCCUUAAUUGUACAAAGAAUUUUUAUGGCUGUCAGCACCAACGAGGCCAGGCCAUAAAUCCUGAAUUUCUCCAACUUCUUUGCUGGAAAGGCCUACGAUUUUUUUUUCCAGCACUAAUUUUCGUAUUAGUUUAGUCGUAAGCACAAAAGUCCAACUUAGAGCAUCCAGUGUCAAAAAUACAUUAUUGUAAGCAAAAGAAUGAUGAGUUGAUGAAGGCAGAAAGAAAUUAUUAAAGGAUAGUGAUACCUUACAGAACCUUUUGAGAUGCCAGGAAAAUAAGCUUGGAGGUUACACAGGCAGGGAGAAUGUCUCAAAUCAGAAGAGGACACAUUCUUCUGCCGCUGCUGAGAUUUAGGUGACGCAUUUGACUGACACUGGACACUUAUGCCACUGGAAUUGCAGAGACCAGUUCCUGCUUAUCCUGGGUUACCUAUCAGUCUAUAGAGUUAUUCAGACAAGUCCAUCACAUCCUUUUAUAGGCACCAGGGAGUAUCCCGUUUCUUGAUGCUGUUUCUAACAGUCCUUGGUUGUGCACUUGGUUCCUGAAUGCAACCUCUGUGUGGUCCUGCGUGGUGCAAUGCCCUCCUCUCCCAGGCUGACUGUAGGUGGCAGCAAUACGUAGAGAAGGAGCCUGAAGAUCUGACGUUCGCUUGCAAAAAGUUGGCUCUUCUGCACAAUCACAGCCAGCCUGUCAGCCUCCCGGUUGCUGUGAUGGACCUGAGUCACUUCCCAUCACAAAGAGCAUUUCCCAGCUGAUGCUAAGGACCCAAGGCCAUAGCAUCUGUCUUUACCUCCUCAACAGAAUGGGUAGCUUGUCAUUUGGGGAUUUCAAAUAUUUUUAGUAAAAAAUGUUACUGAAUAAACAGUGGUACUUUAAAAGUGCUGCCCAUUGAUCUUAGGAGUGUUUCUAUUUCAACUCCAGUAAGCUUGUCCUCUUUCUGUAGCUACAUCAUAAGCUGUUUCUAUAGCUGUUUCUGUAGUUACAUCAUGAGCCCCUGUGAGGAUAUUUAUUUUGACCUUUCAACAUUUUUUACUUACACAUUCUCAUCAUUCUCCAAAUUGAGUUAUAAUGGUCUAUGGAAGAUAAUUGUUUUAACCAGUCAUAACACAGAGUAUAGAACUAAUGGAGAUUUAAUUUUUUAAAUUUUAGAUGAAUUCACAGAGUAGGUGCAAAGACAGCGCAAAGAAUUCCCACAUACUUUCCUGGUAAGGAUAUUUUACCUCUCUGUAUUCCUGGUGGCUAGCUGUAUGCCUCACACUAUUGAAUGAAUGAUUUAAUACCAGUGGCCCUAUAAAAUAUUGUACCUGUUAAUGGACGAUGAAGAAUGAUGUUUCAGUCAGGUUGGGCUGCUACAACCAAAUAUCAUAAACUAGAUGGCUUACCAACAAAAGAAACUUAUUUUUCAUGGUUCUGGAGGCUGGAAGUCCAAGAUUAUGGUGCCAGCAUGGCUGGGUUUUGGUGACAGCUCUCUUCCAGGUUGUAAACAGCUGACAUCUCUUUGUGUCUGCAUAUAGCAGAAAAGAAGUGAACUAGCUUUCUGGCCUCUUCU
rnacentral:lncRNA from 10 species